AUAAUUUCCAUAGGUAUAAAUUUCGGUCAACCUAUUUUAUAUAUUAUGUGUUCCCUUUAAUAUCUGUUGAGAUUAACAUUACUUUUUAUUACUUAACAAAAUAAUUUGCUUUAAAAAUGAUAUAGAAUUUGAGGUUAGAUUUUUUUGAUUUUCUUAGAUCAUUUCUAAUCAUUUCACGAAAGUAUAGCAUCUCAAACCUUAAAGAAUCUAUUACAGAAUAAUAAAAAAGGAAUCGAAAAAAUCAAGGAAAAGAUAAGGAAGGAGUAAUGAAAAAUAACUUUUAAAAAUGUACUAACAAUAUUGUUUACUACUAAUCAAUAUUCUAUGAUUUAUAUAUACUUCCAGAAAUUUUCACCUUAUAGAACUUAUACUUCAACAUUCGGGCAACACACAUAUGGGUCAUUCUACGGAGGUUUUACCCUCUAAUAUUUUUUUGGGUGAUAUAAUUUUUUUCGUUUUUUGAUAAAAAAUAUUUAAUAUUCAAUAUUUAAUUGAAAUUAAGGAUACUGAAGAAUUGCACAAUUGAAAUUACAUAAAAAAUUAGGCAUUUUUAUAAAAAAAAGAAAUUGUUAAAAAAGGACCUUAUAUUCCUUAUUUAAACCCAAUAUAAAAGGAUUAAAAUUCCUAACGCAUUCUAGAAUAUACUGAAAAAAUUUCAAAGUAAGGAAAUAAAUAGAUAUUGAUGAAUAGUUGUAAUACGUGGCACGCGCGGUAGCAUACACGUUUGAAACUUGUAAAGGCUUCAGUUCAAAAUUCAUUUUUCAACCACUAUUGAUUUUUCCACUUUGAAAUUUUUACAGUAUAUUCUGGAAUGGGUUAGGAGGAAUAUUAAUCUAAAAAAAUGGGAAAAUAUUAUGUCCUUUUUUGGAAAUAUCUUCUUGUUUAUAAAAAUGCCAAAUUUAUUUAUAAAGAUUGAAAGCAGUAAUUUUGCAGUUUACUUCAGCUUGACGUUCGAGAUCAACCGCAUAUUACAUAAAAUGUUUGAAAUUUUUUUAUGAUUAAUUUUUCAGUCAUAAAAAAGUUGAGACGAGCACUUUUUUUAACACGAUAAUUUAAAAAAAAAUUAUUAUACAACUUGCCAAACAUUUAUUGCUUUUUACGUCAUUUCUGAGUAAGGUCGUUGAAAUAAAUUUUGAUAUUCCUUUUUGAUGUCGCUGUACUUAUUUUUAGUGAAUACUGAUGCAAUAGACUAUAGUAUUUGUACAAGAAAUCUGUUCUAAGGAACGAUAAACUCAAGCUUGAAGCUGGCGAAGGUCGUUAUGUAAAAUAAAAAAAUCCAAUUGAAACUUCAAACAAAUUUCUACUCUGAAUUAUUACUAAAAUUGUCCAAAUAUUUGUAUUCCUAAAGGGCUGGGAAGACUAUAUUUAGUUAUUUUUGUUAUCAAGGAAUACAAAAAGGAAAAAUACAUGGAUACAAUACAAUCCUCGGUGUUUUGAAUAUUUACUUACUGAAAGCGUAUUUAAAAAAAGUUGCUUUUGGUUUUUUUUAAUAAAAAUAGCAUUCGGUAGUUAAUAGCUCCAAAAUUAUUAAUCUAUUAUUUUAGUUUUAUAUCAACUGUGCGUAUUUCGUUGAGAAAAAUCCUCCAAGGCUAACGUAAAUAAGAACGUACCUGAUUUACAAGCCACUGAUAAGACAAUUAAACCUACAUUUUAUCACAUAUGAUUUUUCUCGCAUAAUCAGAAUCAUAAAUUUACAUAAAAUCAUUUCAAUAUAAAUUUCACACAUUUAUCCAUUUUUCGAGUGUAUAAAACGAUCUUUCUUGUCUCGAAAUUGAUUUAUAGUAUCAGGUUGAUCGAUCAAAUCAUAAGGAGAGACUACCAUAAGAGAUCAAAAUUCAACAUGAGGGUUCUCUUCUCACUUUAUAUGUUAUUUGCUGUAUUACUAGCAGCAAUAUGCGCUGCAUCCUAUGAAUGUCCCCCCGGUACAGAAUUCGAUCCUCCUCUAGAAGAAGUAAGAUAUCCUUCUUACAAGCCACAUUGUAAAACUGUCGAAGAAAUAUAUCCUCCUAUUCACCACAAAAAUCAAUAGCCCUAACAAAAAAUUUCUGAUGACGAGAAAACAGAUUAGAUGACUUAGUCCUAGCCA